rnacentral:rRNA from 1 species
GAUGAACGCUGGCGGCGUGCCUAAUACAUGCAAGUCGAGCGAAGCGGGGACGGGUGAGUAAUCCGUGGAUAACCUCCUAUAAGACUGGGUUAACUUCGGGAAACCUGAUCUAAACCGGAUACUUAUAGUUCGAUCCGCGCUGCAUUAGCUAGUUGGUAAGGUAACGGCUUACCAAGGCAACGAUGCAUAGCCGACCUGAGAGGGGGAGCGGCCACACUGGGACGGAGACACGGUCCAGACGCCUACGGGAGGCAGCAGUAGGGAAUCUUCGGCAAUGGGCGAAAUCCUGACGGAGCAACGCCGCGUGUGUGAAGAAGGUCUUCGGAUCGUAAAGCUCUGUUAUUAGGGAAGCGGUACCUAAUCAGAAAGCCACGGCUAACUACGUGCCAGCAGCCGCGGUAAUAC